CCUACGGGAGGCAGCAGUGAGGAAUAUUGGACAAUGGGCGCAAGCCUGAUCCAGCCAUGCCGCGUGCAGGAAGAAGGUCCUAUGGAUUGUAAACUGCUUUUAUACAGGAAGAAACACUCCCUCGUGAGGGAACUUGACGGUACUGUAUGAAUAAGGACCGGCUAACUCCGUACCAGCAGCCGCGGUAAUACGGAGGGUCCAAGCGUUAUCCGGAAUCAUUGGGUUUAAAGGGUCCGUAGGCGGCCAAAUAAGUCAGUGGUGAAAGCCCAUCGCUCAACGAUGGAACGGCCAUUGAUACUGUUUGGCUUGAAUUAUUAGGAAGUAACUAGAAUAUGUAGUGUAGCGGUGAAAUGCUUAGAGAUUACAUGGAAUACCAAUUGCGAAGGCAGGUUACUACUAAUAUAUUGACGCUGAUGGACGAAAGCGUGGGGAANCGAACAGGAUUAGAUACCCUGGUAGUCCACGCCGUAAACGAUGGAUACUAGCUGUUCGGAGCAAUCUGAGUGGCUAAGCGAAAGUGAUAAGUAUCCCACUGGGAGUACGUUCGCAAGAUGAAACUCAAAGAUUGACGNUGNGNGNGCGAGACGACGAGAGGAGAG
rnacentral:rRNA from 1 species